GGGGAUGUGGUGUAGUCGGCCUAACAUGCGACCCUGUCAAGGUCGAGACCGCGGGUUCGAAUCCCGUCAUCCCCGCCA
rnacentral:tRNA from 1 species